rnacentral:misc_RNA from 1 species
GAUGAAGAACGUAGCAAAAUGCGAUAAGUAAUGUGAAUUGCAGAAUUCAGUGAAUCAUCGAAUCUUUGAACGCACAUUGCGCCCCUUGGUAUUCCAUUGGGCAUGCCUGUUCGAGCGUCAUUUACAACCUCAAGCUCCGCUUGGUGUUGGGUGUCUGUCUGCGCUUCUUGCGAAGACUCGCCCUAAAUCUAUUGGCAGCGGCAUCGCCGGCUUCUCGCGCAGUACAAUGCGUUAUGGAAGGCUACCGGCGGGCUUGCGUCCAUCAAGUAACCCCCCAAGUUUGACCUCGAAUCAGGUAGGGAUACCCGCUGAACUUAAGCAUAUCAAUAAGCGGAGGA